GUUGUUGUGGUCGAGUGGUUAAGGCGAUAUACUACAUCUAUCUUUGGAUUCUACCGUGCAGGUUCGAAUCCUGCCGACAGGCA
rnacentral:tRNA from 1 species